rnacentral:lncRNA from 1 species
AUGCUGGCGGAGUACAGGACAGUGGUGCAGGAGCUGAGACUGGAAACAAGCCAGCUUCAGGAGCAGCUGUGUCAAACCACCGAAGACCUGGCCAUGCUGCCGAAGGAGCUGCCCCACGAGCUUAAACCCCAUGUUCAGCUUCCCGCACAGCCACUCUGCGUGGAGAUAGAAGAGAUCCAGCAGGGACGAAAGGCUGAGGCCCGUCUGCCGAGCCCGCUGUGCGGGAUGUGGCCUGGCUCAGGAGCUCCUGUGUCGGCACAGCUGCUUGUGGGGAUGAGCCCCGUGGAUGUCAGGGCGGUGGCAGAGGAGCAGGAUGUGGGCGCGGCCAAUUGCACCCCAGCAUGGCUGGCUCAGCCGAGCGCCGCCGAGGAAGCCAAAGCCCUGGCUGAGCAGCAGCAGCGACUGAUGCCAGAGAUGCCGGAAAGCACAGAGGAGAGGAGAGACUGGCGCUGCCCUGCCAAGGAAGAGUUGUGUGCACAUGGCGCAGAGGAGCAGCUUAAACUCGCCACGGGGACCAGCGAAGAGCACAGCUGCUUAUUCUGUGUGGAGACCCAUGUGCUUCCUUGGCCGGAAGGGAAGGCAGCAAGGCCUAUCUGUCUGGAGGCCGGGCCCACAGACACUCUAUUGUCCAGCCCAGCAGAGAGGAGCCCUGUGGGAGGCCUGCCGCAAGGUGCACUCGUCCCCGUGCAGAACCAGCUGUCCCCUGUCAAACAGAAGCAGCCGCACAACUGCUGGCUUGAAACCUUAGCCCCAUGGUUUCGCUCGGGCCUGAUAUUCCUUCUGCAUCAGCCACAGCCCCACCUCCUUCCCAGCCGCCUGCUGCUGGCCCUGCUUGUGACACUCCUCCUGCUGCCAGCACUGUGCUAUCUGGUGCUGCCCAGCUGGACCAUGGCCACAGGGCUGCCGUGGCCACACCUCCAGCUGCGGUACCUCAGGCCCCCACCUGUGUGACCCCUUCCCACCCACAUGGGAAAGUGGCUCGUUGAGGGCCCGGGAAGGACCGUUUUAAGCUGCUGGGAGCAACUCUGACUUGAAGGCAAAUAAAGACAGUUUGGGCUGAUGACCCA